ensembl:lncRNA
GGCUUAGAUUGCUGUGCAUGAGACAGCUUUAGGCUUUAUCAGUAGUCAUAGCUGUAGUUCUGUUUCCGUGGCUAAAUGCAUUUUAUAACCUUCUAAAUAUACUCCACAGCACCAAACUGUUGUACUGUCAUCCUUCCUGACACAGAAAGUACCACUCUGUGGCAUCGUCAGAGGAGAUGCAUAAAGUACAGCUCUUCUCUCUUGCAGCAACGAAAAGGAAAUAUCAAGGCUUCCCAUCUCCUAAGUGCGAGCAGCACCAGGAUUAUCAUUCCCAACAGAAAGCUCUGAAUUAAUUUUCCAUGAACCUACCAGACUGCUAACAAUGAAAAAGGCCCACCCAGAACAAGAAGACCAUGGCCUUAGUAAUUUCUGUGCUGGAAUCUUUCUGAGUAUGUGAAAUAGCCAAAAUGGGAUGGCACAUGGAAGAUAUUCCUACCUUAUCCCGAUGAGCCUCUAACUCAACCCUGAGGGCUUAUCAUACCUCUUCCAGCAUGGAAUGUUC